UCAGGCCUAACACAUGCAAGUCGAGGGGUAGAAGGAGCUUGCUCCUUUGAGACCGGCGCACGGGUGCGUAACGCGUAUGCAAUCUACCUUUUACAGAGGGAUAGCCCAGAGAAAUUUGGAUUAAUACCUCAUAGUAUAUAAUCUUCGCAUGUUGGUUAUAUUAAAGUUCCAACGGUAAAAGAUGAGCAUGCGUCCUAUUAGCUAGUUGGUGUGGUAACGGCACACCAAGGCAACGAUAGGUAGGGGUCCUGAGAGGGAGAUCCCCCACACUGGUACUGAGACACGGACCAGACUCCUACGGGAGGCAGCAGUGAGGAAUAUUGGACAAUGGGCGCAAGCCUGAUCCAGGCAUGCCGCGUGCAGGAAGACGGUCCUAUGGAUUUAAAGGGCUUUUGUACGGGAAGAAACACUCCUACGUGUAGGAGCUGAC
rnacentral:rRNA from 1 species